UGCUGGCUCGAGUCGGACCGAAGGGAGCUUGCUCCCGGAUGUUAGCGGCGGACGGGUGAGUAACACGUGGGUAACCUGCCUGUAAGACUGGGAUAACUCCGGGAAACCGGAGCUAAUACCGGAUAGUUCCUUGAACCGCAUGGUUCAAGGAUGAAAGACGGUUUCGGCUGUCACUUACAGAUGGACCCGCGGCGCAUUAGCUAGUUGGUGGGGUAAUGGCUCACCAAGGCGACGAUGCGUAGCCGACCUGAGAGGGUGAUCGGCCACACUGGGACUGAGACACGGCCCAGACUCCUACGGGAGGCAGCAGUAGGGAAUCUUCCGCAAUGGACGAAAGUCUGACGGAGCAACGCCGCGUGAGUGAUGAAGGUUUUCGGAUCGUAAAGCUCUGUUGUUAGGGAAGAACAAGUGCGAGAGUAACUGCUCGCACCUUGACGGUACCUAACCAGAAAGCCACGGCUAACUACGUGCCAGCAGCCGCGGUAAUACGUAGGUGGCAAGCGUUGUCCGGAAUUAUUGGGCGUAAAGGGCUCGCAGGCGGUUUCUUAAGUCUGAUGUGAAAGCCCCCGGCUCAACCGGGGAGGGUCAUUGGAAACUGGGAAACUUGAGUGCAGAAGAGGAGAGUGGAAUUCCACGUGUAGCGGUGAAAUGCGUAGAGAUGUGGAGGAACACCAGUGGCGAAGGCGACUCUCUGGUCUGUAACUGACGCUGAGGAGCGAAAGCGUGGGGAGCGAACAGAUUAGAUACCCUGGUAGUCCACGCCGUAACGAUGAGUGCUA
rnacentral:rRNA from 1 species